GAUGAAGAACGUAGCGAAAUGCGAUAAGUAAUGUGAAUUGCAGAAUUCAGUGAAUCAUCGAAUCUUUGAACGCACCUUGCGCCCUUUGGCUAUUCUGAAGGGCAUGCCUGUUUGAGUAUCGUGAACACCUCAACUCUCAUGGUCUGCCAUGAUGAGCUUGGACUUUGGGGGUCUUGCUGGCCUACUGUCAGCUCCUCUCAAAUGAAUCAGCUUACCAGUGUUUGGUGGCACCACAGGUGUGAUAACUAUCUACGCUUGUGGUUUUCUGCCAGGUAACCUCCAGUGAUGGAGGUUCGCUGGAGCUCACAAAUGUCUCUCCUCAGCGAGGACAGCUUUUUGAACGUUUGAUCUCAAAUCAGGUAGGACUACCCGCUUAACUUAAGCAUAUCAAUAAGCGGAGGA
rnacentral:misc_RNA from 1 species